rnacentral:rRNA from 1 species
CCUACGGGAGGCAGCAGUGGGGAAUUUUGCGCAAUGGGGGAAACCCUGACGCAGCAACGCCGCGUGGAGGAUGAAGUCCCUCGGGACGUAAACUCCUUUCGACCGGGACGAUACUGACGGUACCGGAAGAAGAAGCACCGGCUAACUCUGUGCCAGCAGCCGCGGUAAU